UGAAUCCCUGGAAGGCGAUUUUCGAUUUUCCGAAAGGAACUUUCGCUUUCCUUUUUCGCCUCUCUUGCACGCUGUGCCUGGACGUCUGCCUAGCUACCAGACACGACACGGGAAUGCUUUUUUCCUGCUGGUUAGUCCUGGCCAAUCGCCUGCUCGCUCUAGAUUAUUGUGGUGUUGCUCCCCCGCUGCGUCUCCUUCUUUGCCCGCGACUGAAAGGGGGGGGAGCGCAGGUGGAGGUUUGCGGACAGGAUGGCUCUGCGCUCUGCGCCCCUGUUGCUUCUGGCGCUGGUGGCGGUCGCCCUUCCGGAGAGCUGCUUCGGUUGGCUCAGUGUUGCUGUGAACACCUCGUUGUGACUUUAUGGACACCACUGUGGGAUAUUCUUUGAGAACAGCAUGAAAGAGAGAAAAUACAUUUUGGACUCUCCUGCUUUUCAAAUACUGGCCGAGGGAGAGCAAACCCGGGUCUGCUGGCCAAGCUGCUGCGUCACUCCAGCUGUGCCUCAGCGCCAGGCCGGUCCUGCUUGUCAACCGAUCGAUUCAAGCCCAGGUCUCUUCAGCUGGACUGCGGAUGCCCCACCUGGGGAGGGCCGGACUUUCCUUGGGGGGAUUCCCUGUCUGUGGACCUCCCUACAGCCGCAGAGUUUCACUGGGCCCCGUCUUCACCGGCGUCCAGGACCCCUUGGCCCCUCUCCUGGUUCCAGGCAGCCCUGGGCCCCUCUGCCGAGUGAAUUUAACUUACUUGUUAGUGGUUUUCUGCGUGUUCAGAACCUCCCAGAACAAGUCGCUGAAACCUCCAGAUGUGGUCUUGCUGUUCCACAUUGUGGCAUUUUGGACUCCAUCGUGGUUGUCCCAGUUGUCCAGCUACAAUUGUCUAUCCUAACCCCCCCUUUAGAAAACUGGAAUUCUCUUUCCUUUAUUCUCUGUCCCACCCCCUUUUUUUCUGUCUUUAGCAUUUUUUCAGUUUGAGUGGCCUCUGUAAAUGUUAAUAUCUCCGAGGAAGUUGGAAAACAUUUGGAGGUCUGCGGUGACAGCUGUGAAUUUCCACCACCGAUUUGGUUUAUUUAUUUGUUUAUUUGAUUUGUUAAGGCUGCCCAACUCGAAAAAGACUGGGUGACUUACAGCAUAUCCAAUAUAUUAAGUUUGAAAAAUACAGCUAAAACAACAGGAUAGCCUGGGCUUCCCCAAAACCAGAAAUAUUUUGCUUCUGAUGUUGGCCUAAUUCUUUUUCAUGUCUCCUCAUUGGUGUUUUUAAAUUGUAACUUUCAUUGGUGUUCAUAGUAGUUUUUAUGACUUGCUCUUGAGUAAAGCAAGAUAAGAUGUUUUUAAUGAUGAUGAUAAUAAAAAUUUGGGUUGGAAAGCAACAGCCUGAUACAACUU